rnacentral:rRNA from 1 species
AGAGUUUGAUCAUGGCUCAGGAUGAACGCUAGCUACAGGCUUAACACAUGCAAGUCGAGGGGCAGCAUGACCUAGCAAUAGGUUGAUGGCGACCGGCGCACGGGUGAGUAACACGUAUCCAACCUACCGGUUAUUCUGGGAUAGCCUUUCGAAAGAAAGAUUAAUACCGGAUAGUAUAACGAGAAGGCAUCUUUUUGUUAUUAAAGAAUUUCGAUAAUCGAUGGGGAUGCGUUCCAUUAGUUUGUUGGCGGGGUAACGGCCACCAAGACAUCGAUGGAUAGGGGUUCUGAGAGGAAGGUCCCCCACAUUGGAACUGAGACACGGUCCAAACUCCUACGGGAGGCA